AAACAACUCUCGGAAAUAGAUAUCUCGGCUCUCACAUCGAUGAAGAACGUAGCAAAAUACGAUACUUGGUGUGAAUUGCAGAAUCCCAUGAACCAUCGAGUCUUUAAAUGAAAGUUACGUCCAAAGCCAUUAGUCCGAGGGCACGUCUGCCUGGGCAUCACGUA
rnacentral:rRNA from 1 species